rnacentral:rRNA from 1 species
AGGACGAACGCUGGCGGCGCGCCUAACACAUGCAAGUCGAGCGAGAACCAGGGCUUGCCCUGGGGACAGCGGCGAACGGGUGCGUAACACGUGAGCAACCUGCCCCAAAGACCGGGACAACCCGAGGAAACUCGGACUAAUACCGGAUGCCCUCACCGGGUCGCAUGGUCUGGUGAGGAAAUGGAUUCCGCUUUGGGAUGGGCUCGCGGUCUAUCAGCUUGUUGGUGGGGUAACGGCCUACCAAGGCGACGACGGAUAGCUGGUCUGAGAGGACGAUCAGCCACACUGGGACUGAGACACGGCCCAGACUCCUACGGGAGGCAGCAGUGGGGAAUCUUGCGCAAUGGGGGAAACCCUGACGCAGCGACGCCGCGUGCGGGAUGAAGGCCUUCGGGUUGUAAACCGCUUUCAGCAGGGACGAAUUGACGGUACCUGCAGAAGAAGGCCCGGCCAACUACGUGCCAGCAGCCGC